rnacentral:rRNA from 1 species
ACAGGUGUAGCAAUACAUGCUGACGACCGGCGCACGGGUGCGUAACACGUAUGUAAUCUACCUUUAACUGGAAGAUAGCCCGAAGAAAUUCGGAUUAAUAUUCCAUAACAUAAUGAAGAGGCAUCUCUUUAUUAUUAAAGCUCCGGCGGUUAAGGAUGAACAUGCGUCUGAUUAGCUAGUUGGCGGGGUAACGGCCCACCAAGGCAACGAUCAGUAGGGGAUCUGAGAGGAUGAUCCCCCACACUGGUACUGAGACACGGACCAGACUCCUACGGGAGGCAGCAGUAAGGAAUAUUGGACAAUGGGGGCAACCCUGAUCCAGCCAUGCCGCGUGAAGGAUGAAGGCGCUAUGCGUCGUAAACUUCUUUUGAACGGGAGAAACCCCGGGUACGUGUACCCGGUUGAUAGUACCGUUAGAAUAAGGGACGGCUAACUUCGUGCCAGCAGCCGCGGUAAUACGAAGGUCCCGAGCGUUAUCCGGAUUCAUUGGGUUUAAAGGGUGCGUAGGUGGAAUGAUAAGUCAGUGGUGAAAUCUUGCAGCUCAACUGUAAAACUGCCAUUGAUACUGUUGUUCUUGAGUGUAGUUGAUGUGGGCGGAAUAUGUCAUGUAGUGGUGAAAUACUUAGAUAUGACAUAGAACACCGAUUGCGAAGGCAGCUCACAAAGCUAUUACUGACACUGAGGCAC